AACACAAGGAGAAAGCUAUGUGGUGACAGAGGCCAAGAUUGGAGCAGUGUGUCUACAAGCCAAGGAAUACCAAAGAGUCCUGCAACACCACAAGCUAAAAGAAAGGCAUUCAACAGCCUCUCCUCGAGCCUUCAGAGAGUCGGCUGACACCUUGAUUUCAGAAUUCUAGCCUCCAGAACUAUUGGCUCUGAGCCAACAUCCAGGCCCACCCUCUUCCACUUUGUACAUCUGGAUGCCGCCGCAUCAUGGCUUGAUGAGCAGUGCACAGGUACGCAGCCGGGAUCCAAACCUGCGAACCCCAGGCCACAGAAGUGAAGCAUGUGAAACCAACCACUACGACACAGGGCUGGUCCCUGGGAACUGGAAUAUUUUAAAGCUCCCCAGUUAUUUUAUAGGUUUCUUCUCACAAGAUUGUUACAUUUCUGAAGUAGCUUCCCAGGUAUUUUAUACUUUUUGUUGCUAUUCUGAAUCUGAAUUUAAUCUCUUUGUACAUUAUAUUUCCU